UUCAAUUCAGAACUGCAGAUAGUACAGCUUUUACAGGAGCAAGGGAUGCCCAAGCACAAGUGGCUGAGUUCCGAGUGACUUUAGGAAGCGCUUUCCUGCCUCCCUCCUUCAGGAAAACGGGGGAUUCUGCACCUGUACCAGGGACAGUCUGGCAAAAGCCUGCUCUGCCUCCGGGGACAAGGAAAUAGCACCAAUAACCAUUUUGAAAUUGGAUCUUGGCAAAAUUUGCAACGAAUCCAUAAAGGAAACUGAAAGCAGUUUGAUCUUCAUCUUCAAUGACAGUCCCACAAAAGUUGAAGAACCACGUUAUGUCUCCAAAGAAGAUUACAGUGGUGCCCUAAAAUUAGGACAUGAUUAAGUUCUGUAGUUUUAACCAGAACAAAAGGAUUGCCCAGAAGAAAAGAAGGGGUUUGGGUAAUAUGCCAGUGAUGUACUUUUCAUUGUCAAGGAAUCCAUCAACACAAAAGAGGCACGGGUGCAGCAUCGAGCAGGCUUUGAGGAUUUGGCAGUGAACCACACAGAUAGAAGCGCUAAUGGAGGUUCCAUUCCAGGGGAGAGAUAAUCAACUGAUAAAUUAUACCUGCCCUCCCCUCCCUCCAACCCACAAAAAUAAAAGCUGAAAAUAGACUGAAGCAUAAUAUAUUUUUAUGGCUCUCUCUCCAGAAUGACAGAACUUUCUGUAAAUCUCAUUAUGUAAAAUAUGCCUUCCCUGUGGUAAGUAUGAGGUAUGGGGAGAAACUAAUUGGAUUGCUCAAAUUAGUCAAUAUGUCUGAAACUAUUUUGGGGAUGCUUCGCCUUUUGGGUUAACUAUAUAACACAAUUUGUUGCUUUCUUGUGAGAAUUCUGCUUUUGAGCAACAAGCAGAAAUUCAGUGUAACAUUAAGAAAUGCAAUUUUAGGCACAAUACGAUGACCACAGAUGACCACAAUGUAAAUAGGCAUCUCAAAGAGAACGAUGUACUGAAAAAUAAAGUAAGAGUUGAUAGCAUGACAAUGGAAUGAUUGUUAACUUUUUGGACAUUGAUGUAAACUGAAUUUAAUAAAAGCAAAAGAAAUG